CUGGAUAACACCUGGAAACAGAUGCUAAUACCGGAUAACAACAGAUGAUGCCUAUCAACUGUUUAAAAGAUGGUUCUGCUAUCACUCUUGGAUGGACCUGCGGUGCAUUAGCUAGUUGGUAGGGUAACGGCCUACCAAGGCGAUGAUGCAUAGCCGAGUUGAGAGACUGAUCGGCCACAUUGGGACUGAGACACGGCCCAAACUCCUACGGGAGGCAGCAGAC
rnacentral:rRNA from 1 species